CUUCCAGACGCCUCCCUGCUAAAAAAAAACAGGGACGGCGACCGCUCUUCACCGCUGCCCCUUUCUCCUCUCGGGCGUCGGCAGAUCUGCGCGGGCCGCUAUCCUCUCCUUCCAGACAGGCGACAGUCCUUCCUAGCCAUGGCUGUUAGGCACACCAUUAUUCUGAUGCAACCAUCCCAAAACAGGAGCCCCAGGACGCUCAUGGAUUAUAAUUCAAUUAACCAUGCAUUGGAUGGAAUCUGUGGUCUCUAUGAAAGGAAAAUCAGGGAUAUCAACCCAAUGAUCCCGAACAUAACCUAUGACAUCACCGACCUGUACAACUUCAUCGACGGCCUAGCUGACAUCAGUGUGCUAGUCUAUGAUCAUGAAAUCCAUGCGUUUCUGCCGUAUGACUGGCAGUGGAUAAAGCAGAAGUUGUUUCAGCACCUUAAGAAGCUGGCUCAAAGAUAG
rnacentral:rRNA from 1 species